UGCAAUAGGGUGGUUGUUGAAUUUGCAUAGAAUUACUUCAUAUAUCCAGCAUGACUAAUUUAAAUUUCACAUCUAAACAUAUUUUUGUCUUUUAAUUUUCACAUAUUCUUUAAGAAUAUUCAUUCUUUUAGAAUAAAUCAUGUUGAAAAGAAACAAGUUAGUCGUGUUUUAUCCUCAAGCUCCGCCCCCUGGAAAGGAAAAAUCGGCUGCACUGUCCGCCAUUUUUGUCUCUCGCUUUGGAAAAUCUACUACCAUCUGGAGUUUUACACUUGAAGAUAAAUGCAGAGUUUAAGCGCAUUACCACCAUGCCACUGCAGUCCAGAUCACUCUCGCAGAUAGAUGUGCUAUCUGACAAACUAAUAAAGGUCUUCAAAAGGCGAGGAGGACAAAGAGGAAGAAGACUUCAGAACAUUCUGGAGCCCACGGCCCAGGCCGCAGAUGAAGCCAUUAUCCAACGAUCUAAUAAGGAAACAACCAUGGAAU